rnacentral:piRNA from 1 species
UAUGCAAACGUUUUUUACUAA